rnacentral:rRNA from 1 species
GUGGGGAAUAUUGGGCAAUGGGCGAAAGCCUGACCCAGCAACGCCGCGUGAAGGAAGACGGUCUUCGGAUUGUAAACUUCUUUUGUCAGGGACGAAUAAUGACGGUACCUGGCGAAUAAGCCACGGCUAACUACGUGCCAGCAGCCGCGGUAAUACGUAGGUGGCAAGCGUUGUCCGGAUUUACUGGGUGUAAAGGGCGAGUAGGCGGAUUUGCAAGUCAGGUGUGAAAGCCCGGGGCUUAACCCCGGGUCUGCAUUGGAAACUGCGGAUCUUGAGUAUCGGAGAGGCAGGCGGAAUGCCCGGUGUAGCGGUGGAAUGCGUAGAUAUCGGGAGGAACACCAGUGGCGAAGGCGGCCUGCUGGACGACAACUGACGCUGAGGAGCGAAAGCGUGGGGAGCAAACAGGAUUAGAAACCCCUGUAGUCC